rnacentral:rRNA from 1 species
GAUGAACGCUGGCGGCGUGCCUAACACAUGCAAGUCGAGCGGCAGCGAGGGGUGCUUGCACCCUGUCGGCGAGCGGCGGACGGCUGAGUAACGCGUGGGAACGUGCCCCAAAGUGAGGAAUAACUGCCCGAAAGGGUAGCUAAUACCGCAUAUUAUCUUCGGAUCAAAGGAUUUAUCCGCUUUGGGAGCGGCUCGCGUCGGAUUAGGUAGUUGGUGAGGUAAUGGCUCACCAAGCCGACGAUCCGUAGCUGGUCUGAGAGGAUGACCAGCCAGACUGGAACUGAGACACGGUCCAGACUCCUACGGGAGGCAGCAGUGAGGAAUCUUCCACAAUGGGCGAAAGCCUGAUGGAGCAACGCCGCGUGCAUGACGAAGGCCUUCGGGUUGUAAACUGCUUUUAUAAGUGAGGAAUAUGACGGUAACUUAUGAAUAAGGAUCGGCUAACUACGUG